AAUGUUCAAAUAUUUAUAGGAUUAAGAUGGGCAUGCGUGUCAUUAGCUAGUUGGCGGGGUAACGGCCCACCAAGGCGACGAUGACUAGGGGAUCUGAGAGGAUGACCCCCCACACUGGUACUGAGACACGGACCAGACUCCUACGGGAGGCAGCAGUAAGGAAUAUUGGUCAAUGGAGGCAACUCUGAACCAGCCAUGCCGCGUGCAGGAAGACAGCCCUCUGGGUCGUAAACUGCUUUUAUUCGGGAAUAAACCACAUUACGUGUAAUGUGCUGAAUGUACCGAAGGAAUAAGGAUCGGCUAACUCCGUGCCAGCAGCCGCGGUAAUACGGAGGAUCCAAGCGUUAUCCGGAUUUAUUGGGUUUAAAGGGUGCGUAGGCGGCUUAUUAAGUCAGGGGUGAAAGACGGUGGCUCAACCAUCGCAGUGCCUUUGAUACUGAUGAGCUUGAAUACACUAGAGGUAGGCGGAAUGUGACAAGUAGCGGUGAAAUGCAUAGAUAUGUCACAGAACACCGAUUGCGAAGGCAGCUUACUAUGGUGUGAUUGACGCUGAGGCACGAAAGCGUGGGGAUCAAACAGGAUUAGAUACCCUGGUAGUCCACGCCCUAAACGAUGAAUACUCGCUGUUAGCGAUAUACAGUUAGCGGCUAAGCGAAAGCGUUAAGUAUUCCACCUGGGGAGUACGCCCGCAAGGGUGAAACUCAAAGGAAUUGACGGGGGCCCGCACAAGCGGAGGAGCAUGUGGUUUAAUUCGAUGAUACGCGAGGAACCUUACCCGGGCUUGAAAGUUAGUGAAUCAUUUAGAGAUAGAUGAGUCCGCAAGGACACGAAACUAGGUGCUGCAUGGCUGUCGUCAGCUCGUGCCGUGAGGUGUUGGGUUAAGUCCCGCAACGAGCGCAACCCCUAUGUUUAGUUGCCAGCACGUUAUGGUGGGGACUCUAAACAGACUGCCUGUGCAAACAGAGAGGAAGGAGGGGACGACGUCAAGUCAUCAUGGCCCUUACGUCCGGGGCUACACACGUGCUACAAUGGAUGGUACAAAGGGCAGCAAGCUGGCAACAGCAAGCGAAUCUCAAAAAGCCAUUCACAGUUCGGAUAGAGGUCUGCAACUCGACCUCUUGAAGUUGGAUUCGCUAGUAAUCGCGUAUCAGCAAUGACGCGGUGAAUACGUUCCCGGGCCUUGUACACACCGCCCGUCAAGCCAUGGAAGUUGGGGGUACCUAAAGUAUGUAACCGCAAGGAGCGUCCUAGGGUAAAACCGAUAACUGGGGCUAAGUCGUAACAAGGUA
rnacentral:rRNA from 1 species